rnacentral:lncRNA from 1 species
CCAGCCUCCUAUACAUUGGGUGUUUGUUGUCCUUCCCUUUCUUGUUUAGAUCUAUAGCCCGCUCCUUCAUACGAGAGACUAUGAACCGCAGGUAUGUGCUCAUCUCUUGUUUACUUGUGUUUUUCUUCUUGAUGCUAAUCUCAUCUCCUGGCAACCAAUAUCCUUCUUGUUCAAUACCAGCCUUUGACCCUUUACACCCCACCGUCAAGGUUUCAACAAUAAGACCAUCCUUGACUGCUAAACUCAGCUGACGAGUGGUUUCUUUUGGAUGCAUACCAUGGACUCGAGACAUAUACUUUGUGAUACGGUCAAUGUUAGCAAUUUGCUUCUGAUUCCGGAUUAUUUCUAUUGCUGCCCAAAGAUGUUGGAUCGCCUUUGUAUCUGCCUGUCGUCUCUUCGUUAAGCGUGCCAUGACCUGUUUACUUGGUCAGCUUGUGCUGCUGCCGCUGCUUCUGCUGCUGCAGGGGGGGCGAAGUUAAGCCAAGGGAAACUUUUCAAUCCCUUCCCCAGGCCGCUGCUGCCUCCUCCUUCCACAUAUUUUUCCCCUCAGAGUUUUAUUGUGUCUGAAUUUUCUCUCUCUCUCUCCUCUUCUGUCUGUCCACAGUUCAGGUUUCUGGGGUAAACAGGGUUUAGGAUGGUGCUAGGGAUAUUUGGGAGAAGGAGAACUCUAGUGGUGUCUACUGGAG